rnacentral:tRNA from 1 species
ACUAAAGUGGCAGAUUAGUGCAAUAGAUUUAAGCCCUAUAUAUAAAAUUAUAAAAAUUUUCUUUAGUA